UGAUAGCCUUAUCGUAGUUUUCUUGUCAAGUAAAAUUGACCCUCAGACAACAAUGAUUUAUGACAUAGAUGGAGAAGUUGUUCCAAAGGAUGAAAUUUUAGAAAUCAUAAAAGGCUGUCAAGGUUUUGAAGGGAAACCGAAAAUUAUUAUUGUCCAUACUUACAAUUUUAACGAGGAAAAAGAAUAUUUUGAUAAAACCAACUCUACACCAAAGGGCAUCAUAAUGGAGAAGAAAUCAAACACAGACGAUAUAUUUGUGGUAUCAAGUUAUUCAAGAAUAGGUCCAUGGAUGAUUGGAGAUAAUAUGGUAGGAUCAUACUUUAUUCAGGCACUCAUACAUGCCUUCAAGAACUUUGCCUAUCAAAAAUCUUUUAUGGAUCUAUUAAAAGAGG